UCCGGCCCAGGAUUCUUACGGGAGGCAGCAGUGGGGAAUAUUGCACAAUGGGCGCAAGCCUGAUGCAGCCAUGCCGCGUGUAUGAAGAAGGCCUUCGGGUUGUAAAGUACUUUCAGCGGGGAGGAAGGGAGUAAAGUUAAUACCUUUGUUCAUUGACGUUACCCGCAGAAGAAGCACCGGCUAAUUCCGUGCCAGCAGCCGCGGUAAUACGGAGGGUGCAAGCGUUAUUCGGAAUUACUGGGCGUAAAGCGCACGCAGGCGGUUUGUUAAGUCAGAUGUGAAAUCCCCGGGCUCAACCUGGGAACUGCAUUUGAUACUGGCAAGCUUGAGUCUCGUAGAGGGGGGUAGAAUUCCAGGUGUAGCGGUGAAAUGCGUAGAGAUCUGGAGGAAUACCGGUGGCGAAGGCGGCCCCCUGGAGCGAGAGANCUGACGCNUCAGGUGCGAAAGGGGGGAACAAA
rnacentral:rRNA from 1 species